AACGAACGCUGGCGGCAGGCUUAACACAUGCAAGUCGAACGCCCCGCAAGGGGAGUGGCAGACGGGUGAGUAACGCGUGGGAAUCUACCGUGCCCUGCGGAAUAGCUCCGGGAAACUGGAAUUAAUACCGCAUACGCCCUACGGGGGAAAGAUUUAUCGGGGUAUGAUGAGCCCGCGUUGGAUUAGCUAGUUGGUGGGGUAAAGGCCUACCAAGGCGACGAUCCAUAGCUGGUCUGAGAGGAUGAUCAGCCACAUUGGGACUGAGACACGGCCCAAACUCCUACGGGAGGCAGCAGUGGGGAAUAUUGGACAAUGGGCGCAAGCCUGAUCCAGCCAUGCCGCGUGAGUGAUGAAGGCCCUAGGGUUGUAAAGCUCUUUCACCGGUGAAGAUAAUGACGGUAACCGGAGAAGAAGCCCCGGCUAACUUCGUGCCAGCCGCCGCGGUAAUAC
rnacentral:rRNA from 1 species